GAAGAAUUACAUCGUGCGGCAGUUUUUCAUUGCGGUGAAUUUAAGGUGGCUGUCAGGCAGACACCGAGCCAAGCUGAUGGCUUUCUGCUUGCAGAGGGAACAGCUCACAGGUAGCCUUACAGAUUCAGCAGGCUGCCCACCUCCUCCUUCAGAUGGGAAAGUCCUCACAGUUGUUUUCCCGCCAACCACGUCUGAACAUUGGAAACUGCCCCAAGUUUCUGCGUGAGUUGAUGAGAAGAUGUGCUUUGGGCUGAUGCUAAUAAUUUUGAUUUCUGGGACUGGAAAUAAAGACAAAAAGGCACCUUAAUUCUAUCCACUAAAUCUUCUCAGAGGAAUUCUCUUGGCCUCUUCUGUUACAAGCAUCAUCCUUUGGUUUUCUCUUCAAAAGUAAGGACAUCAACUAUCCCAUGAAGGACAGCAGCACGGUGUUUUCUAGUAGAAGGAUGAGUAUAGCACAGCUGUCAGUCCUGCUGAAUUCUUAGUUUAUACAAUGCCAUUAGGCUGACUGUCAUCUCUUUUGUGUUAUUACUUGCAGCUAUUUUAUAUACUGGGAGUCGUCAUCCCGGGAGGCAUGAACAAGAAUCUGGUGACAGGAGCAUCAUGAAGUUCAAGACUUCAAAUGUGAAGUCCUGCACCCUGUAAAUAGUGACACCAUGCAACAGUACAAACUGGGGACAGGCUGACUAGAAACUAGCUUUACAUAAGAGGACCUAGAGGUCCUGAUGGACAUCGAGCUGAAUGUGAGUCAAGAAUGUGCCACUGCGUGAAUGAGAGCCAAGCACAAAAGACACUGGGCUGCAUUAGUAACAGCAGAGGCAGUGGGUUGAGAUAGCCAGCAGAGGUGAAUAUUGCACCCCUCUGAGGAGAAGAAAAUCCCCCAGGCAAGCAGAGAGCAAGAUUGACAUUUCUCAUUAUUUCUGUACUCCAGGUAAUAUAUAUAAACUUUUUUUUUUUUUUUCCCUGGGAGCCCUUCAAACCAAGCAAAUGAAGACAUUUCUUCUGUACAGUCAACGACACUCCAAAAGGUCUGAUCUGCUCUCUGAAAUUUCCCCUGAUUUUGCUGUGGCCCUCAGGCUGUAACUCAGUGAUCUCGGCACACAACGUGGCUAUCCCAAAAUCUCAAGUUUUGCUUUGACCAAGUAUUUACCAUAACGAAUAGAAACUAUUCCUUGAACAACAACGUCUUUUACCACUUGCAAAUCUCCAUCUAAUCUGACUGUCCUUAUCUAUAAGCGGAGAGAAUGAAAAGCAGAGAUAUAAAACCCAAAGGUUAAGUACAUAUUUUUUGCAACUGUUUAAUGUUCAGCAUUCUCAUGUUGUGAAGAACAUGCAAAGUUUCUGCAUUCUUUCUAUUGGGUGCAUUCGUCACCAAAGCAGACUUGCUAUCGGUUUGGGAUGUAAACUGACCUGUGUCACUGCAAUUUGCCUGUUUUCAUGUGUGUGUUUGGUUUGCUUUUGGCAUACAGGCACUUACGGCUGAUCCAAAGUCAUUCAAAAGCUCAGCAGAUGCUUCUGUGAAUCUCUUCUAUGUUUAGAAAUGGAAAUGAAGCACGAAACCAGGUGCUUUCUGUGCUGUCCUGAAUUAUGGAUUUUAUCCUUCAUGUUGUAACACAGUUUACUUGUCUUCUGGUUUAUCAUUUUUGAAGAAGGUAUGAGGUAAAAUACCAAGAUCUCCCUGACAGAGUCUUGUAGGACUCCAGGAACUGCUGUCUUCUGUACGGGUCCUCUCCAAUUCAACAGCACCCUUUCAGCUGACAUCAAAAGGGGUGAGUGAGGGCUGUGUGGAGUACAAGGAGCCAACACUGCUAAUAAGACAGAAAUUUGCCACUGAUUUUGUGAAAUUCUCUGUACUGGAUUAUACAGGAGAUCAGAAAAGAAGAUUUUCAGAGUCUCUUCCUCUAACUCUUGCAACUUACUCUUGGGAACUGGUAUUAUCAGGUGAGUAUGGACUGGAUGAUCUCCAGAGGUCCCUUCCAACCACUGCGAUUCUGUGAUUCUGAUUCUAAUCUCACAAAGAACAUGGGACUAAUAUUUCUAAGUUUAAGAAUCAGAGGGUUUUUUCAAACCAUUUUAGGAGGAGGCAAGAAACACUUUGGUUUAGCUUUCUGGUCUGAAAAUAUCAAUAGUUUGUUGCAUUUUUGAAAAGAGCCACAGGAAUCAUAGAUCAAAGAACCAUAGAACGGCUUGAGUUGGAAGAGACCACAAAGCCCACACAGCCCCAACCCUCUGCCAUGGGCAGGGCUGCCCCCCACCAGCUCAGGCUGCCCAGGACCCCAUCCAACCUGGCCCUGAGUGCCUCCAGGGAUGGGGCACCCACAGCUUCUCUGGGCAGCUGUGCCAGGGCCUCACCGCCCUCUGAGUAAAGAUUUUCUGCCUAACAUCUAACCCAAAUCUCCCCACUUUUAGUUUAAAGCCAUUUUCCCUUGUCCUAUCGCUAUUAGACUGUGUGAGAUGUUGGUUCUCCUCCUGUUUAUAAACUCCUCUCAAGUACUGGAAGGCCACAGAGAGGUGUCCCCGGAGCCUUCUCUUCUCCAGGCUGAACAAGCCCAGCUCCCUCAGCCUUUCUUCACAGGAGAGGUGCUCCAGCCCUCUGAGCAUCUUCGUGGCCCUCAUCUAGACAUUCUCCAACAGCUCCACAUCUUUCUUGUGCUGGAGGCCCCAGGUCUGAAUGCAGUACUGGGCCUCAUGAAGGCAGAGCAGAGGGGAAUAAUCACCUUCCUCUCCCUGCUGGCCACCCCUCUGUUGAUGCUGACCAGGAUAUUGUUGGCCUUCUGGGCUGCAAGAGCACACUGGUGGCUCAUGUCAAGCCUUUUAUCUAUCAGAGACUGCGGGUCCUCCUCCGCAGGGCUGCCCUCAAUGAGUUCUUCUCCCAGUCUGUACAUGUAUCAGGAAUUACCCUGACCUGAGUGCAACACUUUGGUCAAGCCAUUGCUCUCAUGGCUACAGGUUUGUUGUUUAGACACAAUAAUGUACAGAUGGGCUUUGCAUUUAUCAAGAAUAAUCACCAGCUGAGAUGCUGAGUGGAGGAAAACUAUUAUCGUCGUGACUGAACAGAGUCUGGCAGCAUUCUUUGUUGUUUGUGGCUUAUUCUUGAAAUUAGAUUUCAGAGACUAAACUGACCUCUCUGUAAGCUGAGCUCAGAAGAUGAAGGCCAAUAAUGGGAGAAGGAGCACAUCUCAAGGCAAAAGGUUUAACCGUCUGCCUCUUGGUAACCUGCAGGAAAUCCACCAAACAUCAUUUCAUUUGCAGCGAUUAAAGGUGAACAAUAUAGCUCUGUGUAGGAUUUCUUGUAUUUGAGACACAUUUAGUUAAUUAUUACCUCUUCAUUUAUUUUCUACUCUAGAAUAAGUCUUGCUGUGGGAAGCGGGGUGUAGGAAACACGAGGUGGUGCUUUUCAGCGACAAACCUUCAACUAUGGCAUUGUUUUUCAUACUUGCAAUAUUCAGCCACAGUAUCCACAAGGGAGGUACCACAAUUGCAAAAUGCUAUUUAAAAUAAUGGCGUGUUUUAGAAGAGCUUCCAAUGUCUCUCAUAAUAUUUGCAGAUAAUCUCAGUUUGCCAAUCUGUGAAGUAAUUAUUCUCCAUCUGUGAUAUCCAGUGAUAACCAGUUAGACUUUCAAAUUCAUUUUUACCAACAUUGGUGAGCUCAUCACUCGCCUGUUGAAAGAACAGAACACAAACAUUAAAACAGUGUAAAGGCAAUGUAUUUAUUAUUGUAGCAUGCAGUCAAACCUGCAUAAUAACUACUAAUUAAAGUGUUAAGGCCUUAAUUUUAGAAAGACAGAGAGGCUUUCUGCUUUUGUACAGUACCAUACACACAUCAUUUUUAUGCUUUGCUUUCUGUGAUUAGUGACCAAGGCCUGGCAUGAGACAAUUUUACUUAAUCAGCUAUAUGCAUUAAAUACCAGCAGCUGCAAUUAGACAUUCUUUUGUAUCACAUACUACGCCUCACGCUGCUAUUUGCUCCUGACCUUGGCAGGCACUUCUGCUGUGUUUGGAGAGGAGCACAGUGAAAUUCAGAAUUCUUUUUUUCACAGCCUGGAUGUUGGCAGAUGUGCACACACAUUCUUGCCCCACAGACCAAACAGAGCAACUUCAGAAGUGCAGCAGGAGUUCCUUUAAAACAGACUGGGAAGGAAAGGUGGGAAUGAACGAAACCUCUACCCCGUGCCUUAACACUUUUGAGUACGAUGUUGGUUUGCAAUGCUUACGUAUCACUUUGGACAUUACACAUUGGCACUGAGUACCUAAAACAAGAGACUUGAGCUUUCCAUUUGCUUUGCACAUCUGUUUUGUCGGGUCCUGUGCUCGUAGCAUCAUUUUUUCCCAGCUGCAGUAUCACAACUGGACACUAGAGAGCUCCUUUUACCAAAGACAUCUCUCCAACGUGAGGGCAGAGCCCUGUGAGGUACGUACAGAGAAUUCCUCCUUUUUUAUAUAACACGGUUUUACUCAUUCUUCAUUUUUAUGUUAAAAAUUAAUAUUCUCAAGGGAAAGCUAUCUUUGCCAGAAAGAGCAAUGGCUGCAGCUGUAGCUCCACAUCUCCUACCCCCAACAAGACAGAGAUUUCAUAGGAGUAGUAACUUGGGAACUAAUUACACAAUUUCAGAGAUAAGAAAAAGUAAAUCAAAUGCUGCCAGCAUGGAAAUUAUAAUUAAGUUUUUCUCUGAAUAACAAAUACACUCCAUAUGUAAUUUAUUAUGACUAUUACUAUAUUAAUAAUACUAAUAACCUAUGCCAUGCACCUAUGGAGAGUACAUGUUUUUGUCUAAAUUGCUGGGUUAUAGUCGCAGAUGCAGUAUGAAUGCCAAACAGCUCUCUGCAGUCAUUCUGCUGAUAACCUUAAGCCUUACAACACCCAAGCUAUUGCUAAACACUACUCUAUUAGCAAGUGAUAUAACAGGAUGACGACUGGAUCUACUUUUUUCAUUAGCUGUGUUUGACCCGUUCCCCCAGUUGCCUUUACCCUAUCAAUCAUUUAUUCAAAACCAAAACAAAAUCUCCUAUGCUGUCACUGUAAGGGCAUAUGCGUUCCUGCUCCUCUGAUUUUGGCAUAAGCACAGUCUGCUGCAAGAUGCUGUAAUGAUGUGACAUCUUAUCAUAUUGCCCGUUAGGGAUUUUGCGUUAGGGUUGAUUUACAGAUAGCUGUGUCCCGAGGUCAGCAGUGAGAGGGCACAACAUUUUGUCUCCAAAGCAAAGCCCUGUCCCACUCUUACCUCAGAAUCUUGGAGUGCAAAGAUUGAAAAAGCCCAUAGGAAAUCUUCAGAACUGUGGUUCUUGGCCAGGGCAGAGAAGUACAGCUUUCACUGCAGUGCUUCCCAGUAGUACCGCCGUGCCAAUGGCUACGUCCUUUGCUCUUGCCUACUCAUCCCAGUAUGAACUGGGAACACAAGAACCAGUGAAAUCCAGAGUGCAGAGCCAACCUUCCCCAAUCAGUUGUGUGCCUCGGAGGGAGGAGUGGGCCUUGCAAGUGUGCUGUCAGCUCCUGCCUGUGUUCCCUGCCCAAGGUAGCUUUGGGCACACCUCCUAAUUUUCCUGCACCUCUGCUGCUUCAGAUGUUUUGUGUGGUGUAGCUAAAAGUCUCAUUUUCUUCCACCAUUUCUUUGCCUUGUUCCCCUGCUCAGUCUGGGAUCUGAUUGGUUUUACCUAGAAAGCCAGAGAAACUAUGUUCUGAAUUUCGAGGGAGCCAUUCUUCCAGGACAGCCCAACUGUAUUAAUGACAGUGAGCUGAAAUGUUCCACUGACAUCUCUUUACUUUGUUUCCAAAACCAGCAAGAGACGAUAGUAGCUGAGCCAGACUUUAAUGGUAGCUUUUCUUUGUUCUUUUCAACCCACAGUCUUUUGAAAAUGUAAUGGUAAAAGAUAGAUGAGAUUUUCAGCUUAGGGCAGCUCCAAACAGGCUGGCCAAGGAGGUCAGCGUGGGAAGGGGAGGCUGCCUUUUGAUUCAUCUGAAAGUCAUCUCUUACAAACUGCUCGGUGUGAGCCUUGGUCAGGUCAUUAUGCAACUCUGACGUUGUCCAUGCAGAUCAGGGCUCCAGCAUGGCACUCAUCAGCUCUCUUCCUAAACCACAGAAUCAUAGAAUGGCCUGGGUUGAAAAGGACCUCAAAGAUCAUCGAGUUUCAACCCCCUGCUAUGUGCAGGGUCGCCAACCAGCAGACCAGGCUGCCCAGAGCCACAUCCAGCCUGGCCUUGAAUGCCUCCAGGGAUGGGGCAUCCACAACCUCCUUGGGCAACCUGUUCCAGUGCAUCACCACCCUCUGGGGGAAAAACUUCCUCCCAGUAUCCAACCUAAACCUCCCCUGCCUCAGUUUAAAACCAUUCCCCCUUAUCCUAUCACUAUCCACCCUCAUAAACAGCCAUUCCCCUUCCUGCUUAUAUGCUCUUAAAUGACCUUGAUGCACCCAGAAAAUCCUCCCUACCUUUGAGAAGGGAGAGCCUCUAAUGAUAGCAACUCUAACGAAACCCAACCAUAGCUUGCCAAACUGCAGCUAACAAAAUCAAAGGGCGUGGUGAAGUCAGGGCUAGCGUGUCUCUUACAAAACCCCAAUUCUCAAAAAACUGUUUUAUUGCUUCCAGCCCUGGGAGCUCACGUUACACACUGGACAAACCUAGCAGGGCCCUGUCAUUUGUCAGUCAGUGUUAUGGCACGACAGGAGCCUGAAAAGUUAAAAACCAGUUUAACGAAUUAAAAAAUUUAAUGGGAUUCCCAUUAAGCUCGUCUGGGAAGUUUCAUCUGGGAGAACAAAGAAGGAAAUACCGUGGGAUAUGUUUUCUUUGCAGGGAGGAUACGUGGUCCCCACAGGCAAGAACAGCAAGGUGCUCCCUGGAGAGAGAGAGAAGCCUGCAAUAUUUCACAAAGGAAAUUAAAAUGUGAUUCCUGUCAAGUCACCCCUUAUGAGUUCUCCUCUUCUCAUUAACGUUUUGGACAGUCUGAUAUUCAGAAAAACAAAGAUGCUAACUGUGGCUGUCAGUUACUUUUCUUCCUUAAUUUUAUUUUGCAUCAGCUGACCAGAGAGCAAAGUUUUUGCGAGGCAUCCAAGAUCUCAGCAUUGGAGGAACUCUUCAUAGAAACUGAAUUUAACAGCUCUGCCAAUUCAGCUGGCAGAUGUGUUUAUUACAAUGACAAAUGCCCUGGGACCUUCUAGUCCCCUUUCUCUAAAAAAAUCCCACUUUUGCUUUAUUCAUCUCUCCCCAAAAUAUUUUAGAAGGCGGACUCAGGAAAAAUGACUCGCUUAGCAGAAUUUGUAUAAAUUAUUACUUAAUGAUCGUGAUCCAUAGGCUAUUCUUUCCAUCAAGAUGUAAGCCACUGCCAAGCCAGACUAAUAGGAGUUUAUAGACCAGCAGUGAGUGUAAGCAGUCUCAGUGACACGAAUACAAACCCAGCAGCUCAGCUUACUGCAGCUUAGAAUGGAUUAAUGUCCCAUGGCAGAUGCCAGCCUCUUGCCAAAAAGACUAACCCAGUCUUUAUGAAUUUCCUGUUCCUCACAAUGGUUGAGCUACGUCAAUACUGAGAUAACUAGAAAUAGACCCAACUUCUUCAAUGUCGGACUGCGCCCGAAUUUUCCUUGAGGCUCUUCUACAGCCCUUGCCUAUUCAGAGCAAGCUCAGUAUGUUCUUUUACUGAUUUCAUCAACAGAUCCUUUUAAGCAGUGGUAACCCUCAGGAAGCUAAUUUGUUUUCUCUCCAUCUUUUCCCAAGGAAGAAUUAAGAGUGGAGAGGAGUACUGUGGUUUGAUAGAGUGGUUUGUUUGCUAUUAUUAUUGUUUUUGUUUGUACCGGAGAGCGUUGGCCUUUUGCACUGAGAUGAUGAUGGGGAUCAUGGAAAUCCUUCUUUUUUUUUUCUUCUUCUUCUUCUUUUUUUUUUUUUCCCAGGUUUUGCAGAGAAACACUCAUUAUUCUUGCAACAGAAUCUAGGGAAGCUCUGUCUCAGCAUACAUGACCUCUGCUGUACAAAGAAAAAGGUUGCGUUGUGCCUGAGGAACAAAGCUCUGGAAUUAAGUCUAUAACAGCUAAGAUAUGCUGGGCCACGGAGCAUCUUUGCAAGUCUCUAAACAGCCCACAGGAAAAUCUCAGAAGGACCCUACAAAGGCAAGACUGAGAACUCUCUUCAGCUUUGGGAAAGUUCUGCACUGCUCAUGGAGAAGGAAAACUGCCGAUCCACACUGAAUCAGAGAAGAAAAAUGCUCUCUUCUCCACUCCCACCCCACCACGUGGCUCCACACCCCCAAAGCAAGCGCACAAGAAUGUUGAGACGCAUCACUACCCUUUGUCAACCACAAGCCCCAGUCACUUUGCACACACUGUCCCACGCCUCCCCUCUCUGUCAAACCACGGAUGCUGCAGCCACCACGGGGGCUUAAAGAACCUCUCCAAUCCUGCCAUUAGACUAAAGCUUAAAGUGGGUCUCUCCAGAGGCGGAAAAGGAAUUUGUUGUAUGAGCUGAAAAAAAGAUUCCCUCUAAUCCAGUAACAACUAUGGCAAGCUUUUUUUCAGCUUGAAAUCUCUGGUUUUACACGAGCAUAUGAAGCAGGUGUCAAAUGGAUCUAAAAAUGGGUCACGGAGGAUUCUGUUGCUCGCCAUCUGUGUCAGUGGUGGGGAACGCACAUCCACAGGGAUCCACGGGGCACCGCGCGGUAUCUCCUUGCUGAUACAGUUUUGUAGGAUGAAGGGCUUUGUGUUUCCAGUAGUGAUACAUAGUGCGCUCUGUGUCUACUCAGGAGAGGUGGUUAAUCACAGGGCUGCGGGCUGAACCUCAAGCACUAAAACCUACUGAAAAGGAAAGGUCGCCCUGGGGACAUCAGAUAGCUUUGUCUCCCGAGGAUCACAGGUCCAGAAAAAAAGCUGCAGGGUACUGAGGGCAAGAAGUUUCCUCUCCUGCUUGUGAUCCUUCCAUCUCUUAGCCGCAGUUGAAAGUGAAAGCAGAAACUUGAGAAUUUCCACUGGGCUUUAGGAAGACUCUUUGCCAAAGACAAACUUCCUGUAGCCUAUACUGACCUAGAGGCAAGUCAGUAUGGUAACGAGUAAAACGGAUCAUCAAUUGGAUUGCUCUAGCUCAGCCCAGCAAAGCAUUCCAUCUUGGCUCUGUUGCAGUGCUCCCGGUAACUCCAAAGCCCCACUCCUAUUUGGCUGCACAGAGUGAGGGGCUCUGGGCUGUGCAGAUCGCUGCCUCGCCACAGCUCCUCCAGCACAGACAGCACGCUGCUUUAAUGCCAAACUCAGCUACAGGUUUUGCAGCACUCACAGGAUCACCGAGGUUGAAAAAGACCUCUGAGAUCAUCUAGUCCAACUGUCAGCCCACCACCGCCAUGCCCACUGACCACGUCCCCCAGUGCCACAUCCACGUGGCUCUUGAACGCAAGAUGGCAAUUUCCUUCCAUAGCUUUUUUUUGCUUUUAGCAGUAUGAAUGCAAUCUGCACCAACCAAACAUUGUAUGCUUGGCAGAUAGAGUUUCAUCCUAGGGCUAUUGAAAUCAAUUGUGAAACCGUUCAGUAACUGACUACAAGCAGAAAUCAAUUGUACCAGUUACCACAUGGCUUAGUUGAAAUGUAAAAUUAUUUGUUCAGAGAGCAAGAAACUAUUUACUUGUGCUGCUUCUGAAAUCUACCUCUAGCUGUGACCAGAUGGUAAUUUAACUUUUAAAUUGUAUUUACUGCAUUCUUAUACUCUAAUCAGUCGGUGCAAAGCCGAACUCUUCUGAAGUCCGCGCUUCAGCUUUAAACUUAAAACUUUUGCAGUUUCUCUCUGCCUUUGAGCUGUUGCCAUCCUCAGACAGUAACACAUCAAUCGGCGCCCGGCCCUUUGAAGUGUAACAGUUCAGAUGUGACUGCUGCGCGCGUAGCCUGCCGUAUGUUCCACCGUGAGUGGAGGCUGAGCCUCCCUACUUCACAAGUAACGAGCUCCGCUCAAUUAGCAGAGCGAGUUCUUUUUGAGUGUUGUGUGUAAUUAGUUUCAAGGUCUUUGGUUUUAAUGGCCAUUUGUUAACAAUCUUUUUAUAUCGCUGGCACGAAACUUGUGAUUCAAAUACAAGCAAACAGCCAAAAAGCUGGAGUGCUCGACUACACGUGUGAUCCCACAGCUCAGAUCUCCUCUUCUGAGAAGCAGUUUGGCUUUACAUUUCAGAAGCGAUGACAUGGCUGCAUUAGGUAAAGGCCCAAGGCCCGCGGGAGCAGGAG
ensembl:lncRNA